GACGAACGCUGGCGGCGUGCUUAACACAUGCAAGUCGAACGAAAAUACCAAGCUUGCUUGGUUGAUUAGUGGCGAACGGGUGAGUAACACGUGAGUAACCUGCCCCUUACUUUCCUGGAUAACUGCUCGAAAGGGUAGCUAAUACGGGAUAUUCUGACCAGCCUGCAUGGGUUGGUUUGGAAAGGUUGUUUUUCUGGUAAGGGAUGGGCUCGCGGCCUAUCAGCUUGUUGGUGGGGUGAUGGCCUACCAAGGCUUUGACGGGUAGCCGGCCUGAGAGGGUGGACGGUCAGACUGGGACUGAGAUACGGCCCAGACUCCUACGGGAGGCAGCAGUGGGGAAUAUUGCACAAUGGGCGCAAGCCUGAUGCAGCGACGCCGCGUGAGGGAUGAAGGCCUUCGGGUUGUAAACCUCUUUCGUCAGGGAACAAGGCACUGCUUUUUUGGUGGUGUUGAGGGUACCUGGAGAAGAAGCGCCGGCUAACUACGUG
rnacentral:rRNA from 1 species